rnacentral:misc_RNA from 1 species
AAGAGUUCUUGCUUAGUACAAAAGCAUUACUUUGGAUCACCAUUAAUAGAUCGAAUGCAGCCUCUGAUAAUCCUUUGUUGCACAGGAAAGAGACAGCAUCGUUACACAAUAAACCAAAAUUUUCAUGCUCAAUUCUUCCCAAUCUCUGAAACAAAUCUACAACUCCAUCAGCACCCUUAACUCCAAAGAUCUUUUUGAUCAAUAUCAUAUAGAUCCUUGUACUUAAAGGCAGACCUCGAUCUAUUAGUUCAACAAAUACUUCAACUGCCAUGUCCGGCAUGUCAUUCUCACAAAGCCCCUGAAUGGUGCAAUUGUAACAUGCAGCUGAAGUUAUAGAUGCCUUCCGAUAUUCAUCAAAUAUCUCAAGUGCCUCAUCUAGCAUUCCUACUUUAGAGUAACCUUCAAUCAUUGUACAGUAAGUAACAUAAUUGGAAGUCAAGCCCAUGUCUGAUAUUUUCUUAUAUAUGGCAAGAGCAUCCUCAAACAAUCCCAUCAUAAAUAGGCCUUUUAUAAGCAAGUUGCACAUAGUAAUAUCCAGAGAAACAUCAGCUGCUUCAACUCGAUUUUUUGUUUCUAGCAUUCCUGCGACAUUUUCUUCUUGCAUAUAACCAUGUAACAACGUACUAUAUGUG